CGUAGACUAGGAGUACAAAUCUGGAGGCCUUGUCUCCGCAGACCGAGACCCGCGGCGUGGGCAGGGCGUGGCUGCAGUCAGGGUUCGGUGUCCGCCCUUCUUUUUCCCGCAUCCGUAUCUUUUCGCUUUAGUCGGAAACCAUCGCGUAUCGUUUUCAUCUGAACAGCUAGGAAAGCUUUGGGACAAGUGACAGGGCCUUUUCCGGCAUCUGCCUGCUCCUUUCUAUUUUGUGAGCUCGAAAUUUGGGCGGUGGUGUUGGAAAUGGGAAGAAAGGUGGAAAAGAAGGAUGCUGGUUUUCUUAACCUCUUUCGGGAGCCUUCUUGGAUGAGCCUAAGCGGCGGCUAACGCACCGAACUCAGUACUCUCCGAACAUUGCCACAAAUAGAAAAUAAGCAUCAGGAUGCUGGAAUCUUAGGUUUUGUACAUUGCUGUUUUCAAGAGGGUAAAAAACAAUAGCUGGCACAACAAAUUUUUUUACUUAUUUGACACAGGGAGAGAGGGCGUGCUGGCCCUCCAGAGAGCACAAGCAGGGGGAGUGGCAGAGGAAGAGGGAGAAGCAGACUCUCCGCUGAGCAGGGAGCCAGAGGGAGCCAGAUGAGGCUCAAUCUGAGGACACUGGUAUCAUGACCCCAGCCAAAGGCAGAGGCCCAACCUACUGAGCCACCCAGGUGCCCCUAAGCGUCCCACUCUUGACUUCAGCUCAGGUCAUCCUCUCCGGAUGGUGGGAUGGAGCCCCACAGGGAGCCCUCCCCCUUUGGUCCUACCCUCCCCCCUCUCGUGCAGCACUCUCUUCCCCCUCUGUCUCUCUCAAAUAAAUAAAAAUCUUUAAAAAAAAAAUAAAAUAAUUUCACCACUUACUUGGUUACCUUCUUUCACUUAAAAAAAAUUAAGUGGACAUUUAAAAAUGUGCCAUAAAUAUGCAUAACUUCACGAUUACUCAAAUAUCUGAAUAUUACUGGAAAGUUAUCUCUUCCUUGUAAUAGAUUUUAACGGAAAUUCAACUCUAUGAUAUAAAAUACAUAAAGGCUUAGCUCUAAUUUUAUGUAAAUAUCCAUUGGCCUUCACUACUAAUGCUUACCUGCUUUGGAUUCUUAAUGUAGCCCCUCGUUUCUUAACUUGGAUACUGUAUUAAUUUUGAUAAACCUCCAGAAGUCUUGACUUGCCAAAUAAAUUUGAAGAAUAAAGCAGAUCAUGCUGGGUUCUAUCAAAUAAUAAGGUCUCCAUGGACUUGGAUUAAAAUACUUCUGCAGCUGUCUUGGUGUUUACACCUAUAUUGUCAUUAUAUACUUGUCCUGCUGGACAGUCCUCAAAAUUUCCCCAAGUGCUGAAUGAAAAUUGAGGCAAUGUCAGUUUUAGAGUUCCUUAGGAGAAUUUCCUUUGACCCUAAAUUCUUUGAGAAAUCCCAUCCUUACCAAGAUAUUUUGCCUUACUGCUCCACUUCAGACACAUUCAGCAGCUGCCUAUAUGUACAAAAUGGGUAAGAUUCCAAUAUCAUGGAGCUUAUUUUCUAUCAGAGGAAGCAUAAAAUUUAAAAAUAAACACAUAAUUUCAAAUAGUGAUGUUAUUAGGAGUGUCUGGCUGGCUUAGUCGGUAGAGCAUGCGACUCUUGAUCUUGGGGUUGUGAGUUUGAGCCCCACAUUUGGGGUACAAUUUACUUAAAAAAUAUUAGUAAUAAUAUUGAUCACUUACUAAUUGCCACACUCUCCAUGUGCAUUAUCUCAUUCAUAACACUUAAGCAAGUUAUAGAUGAGGAAAAUAAGGCAGAGAUCGUGCUUUUUACCACCACACAUUACUUUCUAAGUCAGUGGGUUUUAUCCUCUGGAAGAAAAUACGAGGUCUUUCAAAAGACUUGAAUGACAACAUGGUCUUUUGUUUCCUGAAAUGUAGGUCAAGAGAGCAUGUCCCUAGAUUUUUUUAUGUAUGAUCAACAUGAUACUGAGUUUCAAAAAAAUAAACUUUCACGAGGAUUUGUGAUAUAAAUAGACGCCUAAAUAUAGGUAACUGUUAAGUCAGAGAGAUGGAAAUAGAAGUAGGAAAGGAGUGAAGUGUCAUUUGAUUAUUAGGCCAUACCACAACGCCUGCAGGGUUUUCCAUGAACUCUGAAUAAGUUCCUACAUCUUUCAGGAAUGUGCUUCUGUAAUUGAGCUGACUGUUCCUUGGUUCCACCUUGUCUGUUGCUUUGGGAAAAUAGUGAUUGCUGAUCAUGAGACAAACUUGGCCAUUUAUUUGGAAAAUUGACUUAGAUAAUCCAUUGCAAGAUAAAAGCUGUUGAGUGAUUUUCCCAAAACCACUCAGCAAGGAUGGGCUUGAACAUGGAAUCAGACACUGGUCCCCUGACUCCAAAUCUGUAGGUGUGUGAGCAUGGGGUGCACGGGGGAGAGGCAGAGGUUGGUUGUUCUGAUGGGUUUUGUCCCCACAUUAUUCUGUGAAGUAACUUGUUUCUUAAUCACAAUUAUUACGUGAAAAAACUAUAUGGUAACUCCACUUGCAUUCAGAUUCACUCUUUGCCACUUCCAUCCAGGAAUAAAAAGAGUGAUUUCUCCAAUGAUGACCAUAUUCCUGGGUCCUAGCUCUUUUAUCCAUCUUAGUUUCUCCAAUAAUAGCCCCUUCUGCAAUUCACUUUGUCAAGUUGGGGGGGGGGGAUUUUAUAUGUAAAUUUAUAUGUAUGCAUCUUUCACCAUGUGCCCCUGGCUCCCUUCCUCAGAGGUUAGUGAUCAGGGGAUUACAGACAUUACAAUUGGGAAAAUCAAGUUACUAAAUACUCCUGGGGACAGAGGAGACUGAAAUGUUUGAUAACCUUUAUCCUUGAGAAAAAUAAGCUGGGGACUGAGAGCAAGUUGAUUUGGUACUUUUGGGAAGGGCAGCAUUUGUGAAGAGAGUAAAUUUCUUCUGCAAAGCCACAGGUGGGGGCACCAAAAGAAAUUCUCGUAGGUUUUUAAAAUUUUAACUUUUUUUUUUAAAGAUUUUAUUUAUUUAUUUUACAGAGAGAGAGAGAGAGACAGCACAAGCAGGCAGAGUGGCAGGCAGAGGGAGAGGGAGAAGCAGGCUCCCCACUGAGCAAGGAGCCCAAUGCGGGGCUCGAUCCCAGGACCCCGGGAUCCUGGGUUAAGGCAGCCACUUAACCGACUGAGCCACCCAGGCACCCCUUUAAAAAUUUAACUUUUUAUUGAAGUAUAAUAUGCAGAAGCAAGCAUAAAUCCUACGGGCACACCUCUAAGGAUUUUAACUAAGGAAUGAAACUAUGUUAACGGUACACAGCAUUACUGGCUCCCCAGAAGCUUCUCUUCCACUCACUACUCUCCCACCCCUCAAGGUAACAUGCUUCUAACAACAUAGAUUGAUCUUCCCUGUCUGGGGACUUUAUAUGCAUGAAUUAUAUAUACACUGUGUAUUCCUUCAUAGUACAUAUGAAAGAAUCUAGUUUCUUUACCUCAGUAUUAUGUUUGUGGAAUUCAUAUUGUUUUCAUUCUCACAGCUAUGUAAGAUCCCAUUGUAUGGAUAUCCCACAAUUUACCCAUUUUACUGCUGAUUAGCAUUUGGGUAGUUUCAUUUCGGAGCUAUUACAAAUUAUCACGGACAUGUGUAUGUGUUUCUGAUGGAUGUAUUCCUAGGACUAAAAUUACUGGGUCACAGUAUGCAAACUUCCAGCUUUGGCAGUUACUAGCAGUUUUCCAAAGUAGUUGUACCAAUAUACACUCCCAACAGCAGUAUGUGAAAGUUCUGUUUCCUCAUGACCGCACCGACAUUUGCUACUAUCUUCUUUUUUAGCCUCAUGGUAGGUAUGGAGUGGCAUGGCAUUGUAGUUUUAAUUUGUAUUUCCUUGAUGAUAAAUGAAGUUGGAUACCUUUUCAAAUACAUAUUGUCCAUUUGGAUAUGCUUUUCAUAUCCUAUUUAAGACUAUUAUUGCCCACCUUUCUUUUAGGUUGUCUGUCCUUUUCUUACUGAUUUGUAUGAUUGAUUUGUAUGAUUCUUAAUGAUUUGUAUAUUCUGGAAACAAGUCUUUUGUUGGAUAUAUGUAUUACAAAUAUCAUCUUCCACUCUUGUGAAUUGUCUUACCAUUUUUUAGUGGUAUCUUUUAAGGAAAGGAAGUUCUUAAUGUUACACAUUAUCAAAUUGUCCAAAUUACCAAUUUAUUUUACUAAUAGUUAAUAUAUUUUGUGUUCUAUUUUGAAAAUUUGUACUUAUGCUUCGGGACUUAUAAAGUUUUGUAGCAUCUUCAAGAUGAGGAGAAUGAUAUUUCCAUCCCCAUUGUAUGUUUGCUUAACCACCAAGCUUGCUGACCUAUCCCAGUGCUAUGAAUUUGAGAGGAAAUUUUGAGGACUGGGAGGAGAUGGUACAGAGAGCAGAGACUGUGGAUCCUGACUGAUCCUACAGACCUCAAGUUGGGAUCACAGAGAGUAAAUGAGAUUGAGACCUACAGACUUGUCAUAGAACACCAAAACAUGGGGCAACAAGUAUGUGUGUAUCAGGUAUGUGUGUAUCAUCACUGCCAGCCAGUAGUCAGCUGAUAGAUACAGCAAGUCCUGCAAAGAACUAUCAAAACAUGGGGAGCUGCUUGGGAUUGAAUUUCUCCUCAGUGGGGCCUGUCAGGGAGCCCCAUGUGUCCUCACUGACAAGUAGCUAGAUAAGCCACAAUGACCUACAGAAAGGGGACAACAACUUUACCACACUCAUGCAUUUGGGAGAUCACGUAUUUCCCUUGUUGAGCUCCUGACCCCACCAUCAGAAAAGCAAGAAUAUGGAAGAGAAAGAGGUGUGUGUAAAGUGAGUUGGAACCACACAGGUCUCGUCUACUCUACCCUGGAGGGGGCGUGAGUGUUUUUAAAUUAAAUAUGAGAUUAAUGUUUUUUUAAAAGAUGUAUUUAUUUAUUUGAAAGAGAGAGCACAGCAGGGGCCAAAGGGGGGAGGAGAGGGAGAGAAGCAGACCCCUUGCUGAGCACAAAGCCCUACACAGGGCUCAAUCCCAUGACCCCAAAAUCACGACCUGAGCCAAAACCAAGAGUCAGAUACUCAACCAACUGAACCACCCAGAUGCCCAGAUGCCGAAGAUUAAUGUUUUAAAUGAAGAGAACUAAAUCGCAGUACCUGGAAUUAAAGUUUUAAGAACCAGGGAGGCUACUACCCCAAAACAAUGAAGUUUGACCAAGUACCAAGUGUAGAAAAUAUGAAAAUUUCAUGCUUAUGCGUCUUGAGAUUCUCAAACUGGCUCCACAUCUUUGUUUCCCCUGGUAUCUUUAGACAGGGAUUGUUUAGUAUUCAUCUCUCAAGCCUUGGUGUCUAGCGUACAAUAGUACAUGGAACAUAAGAUGUAGGUGAGUGAGUGAAUGAAUGCAUGCAAACUCUAAGAACUACAUAACUGUUCUAAUUCUCCGUAAGUACAGAGUCUCCUUCAGAGAGAGAAAGUUACGGUUAUGUCCGUAAAAUCUCUACAACGUUCACCCUACAGAGAGCUUUCAAUCCACUUUCACCUCUUUUUCUAAUCAGCUCUCCUUCCCCCCCCAAUAAACACAUACAUAACUCUACUAGGAGGAAGAAGGACUUACCCUGAAAUGUUACAUGACUUUGAGCUGCAUUCCUAAGAGGCUCUCUCAGCCUCUAGAAUCCUUUCCCUCUCUUUUAGGGAUCGCCCUGCUCUGUCUCCAGCAUUCUACUCAAUUUCCUCAUCCACCAUCUCCUCCCAUUUCUCCAUCAGUAACCUCGUAACUCUGCCCCUCUGGCCUUGCCAUGUACCAGUUCUGUCCAUGUUUAAGCCACUUCCCCACUCAGCAUCACUGUUGGGAAUCUGGGAGAGAGGAAUGGGAGGCAGUAGGUCUUUCCUUCUCUCCUCAAAUAUCUAUACAAGUGGGGAUAGGAGGGUAAAAAGAUAAAUGGCCAGAGUCUUGCUCUUUUUUUAUUCCUAGCCUCUUGUGAACCCAUCUUCCACCAAGUAUUUCAGUAACAUGGCCAUGCUUCAUUUCAGCUGUUUCGUUCCCACCAGCUGUGCUACCCUUUCUCCUGACACCUCCAACAGUCCUUGUGUUUGGAGAGCUAGCUGGAAGUACUUUUGUCUGGCAUCUCUCUCUCUCUCUCUCUCCAUAUAUAUAUAUAUAUAUGGAGAUAUAUAUAUCAGAGUUCUGUGAAAUUUUUCACUGAUUAUUUGCUCUUUCUAAAAAUAUCCAGACUUUUACUUUUUAGCCAUUAAAAAAAAAGGGGGAGGGUUUGAACUGAAUCAAUUCUUGUAUUUUGGCUAAGCCAUAUCUGGACACAGCAGCUACAGAGAAACAAAAAGGAAAAAAAGAAUCCUGUCCAUGCCCUGUUUCCUGGUUAGGAAGGAGCAGACUUUAGAGAAGGGAAGCCAAAGCAUGCUUUGUAACAACCUGAAAAUACGCCCUUGAAGGCUAGGGCCUAAAUUGUACCCGUAAAAUGGUAAACAAGCUUGACUGUGGCUUUGGCUUAUUUACAAUAAGGAAUAAAUCAAUUGAAGCAUUUUACAUUCUUAUUCAUACCUAAACAGAAAGAGACCAUAAAAAGCCUUUUCAAAGAAUUGGGGCAAAUGGAAGAAUUUAAUAAACAGAAAAGAAUUUUAAAAAUGAGGAAAUAAAAAAUAAGCAGCAAAAAUAUUUUUUAAAAAGCUAAAAACAUUUUAGAAAGUGUCAAAAAAAUAAUUACUAACCCCACAUGGCUGGGACAAAUGAAUUGCAAUCAGAGGCCAGAGUACAAAAAAUAAUUAUUCAUUAACUUGCAGUGUAGCCUCUGCUACAUGUUAUUUCAGCAACUAAAUUGUGCAGUAAUGACAAUGAAUUCUAAACUUAAAUCUGUAAUAAUGUGGCAGAGUCAUUCCUAUCCCAUACUUGCAAGAAAUAAUAAUAAUUUGAAAAAGUGGUUAAAUGGAAUCAAGACUAGCCCUAGAAUCUAAUGUCUUUGAACAGGGCUGGGCAGCAGGCUGCUCACUGAUGUAACUGCUGAAUACAGUUUUUAGGGCGACAGAAGAAAAACUCUGAGGUAGCCCAGUAUUUUUCACCCCUGCUGUUUUUUCUGAUAAUGGGCUCACACUCAUUCCCUUUCCAUAAGUAAAGUAUCAGACUGUUUACUCAUUCCACCCUCUGGCCAAGAAGUACAAGUUCAUGAUGGAAACCAUACUCUAGGCAAUGGAUUUUGGCUAUUAUUUAUCAGGAUGUGAAAUGAGAAAAUAUGCAACUGACAAAGCUUAGAAACAAAAUCAGGAAUGAAGAAAAAUAAAUCUGAAAACAGACUGUUUAACAGUUUGUUAUUAGAAACAAAUUCUGGCCACCCCAAAGCUAUUUGCUAAGCCCACCCCCGGCUUCCUCUACACCUACUGGCCUGCUCUGCCCCCAGGUCUCUGGGCUGCCAAGGGGCUGGCUACAGUGGUCCUGACCUUUCUUGCUAAGAGCACAUCUCUUUGCUGGGUUGCUCCUUUCAAGCAGGUGCAUUUGAUUGUACAGAACAGUUAGACCAACCAUUGGGGCAGUUUUAGGAAUUGUUUCUAAAAUUAAAAAAAACAACAAAUUCUAGAUUAAACAAAAUUUCUAUCUAAAUUCAGAUCUCCUGAUGUGGAAUUUUUUUUAAAUGAAAUUCUUUUGCAGUUUUUAAGUUUGUUCAUUUUUUUUUUUUUUUUAAGUAAUCUCUGCACCCAUAGGCUCAAACCUAUGACCCCAAGAUCAGGAGUUGCACGCUCUUCUGACUGAGCUGGCCAGAUGCCCCUGGAAUUUUUUUUUUUUUUUUAAUGAUGGAGUAGUUCAGUGCCAGUGAAGGACAUUUAUCAUAUUUUCUGUCUGCCCAGCAUACUUUAAUGUAAUUCCAAUAUCUGGGGAAUCUCCCACCUUGUGGGGUCCACUUCCCCAAGGUAGAAGGCUGGGACUUGCUUCCCCAGGCCCCCUUGCAGCUUAGGGCCCACAGAUGUGACAGAGACUUCCAUUUGAAAGAAAGUAAUGGGAAAAGCAAGGCAUCUCAUGGAAUAAAUUUGGAACAAGGGAAGAGGUAUGAGGCCAAGAUAAUGCAGUUUUCAGAGAGAACAGGGACAGAAGUUUUGGUGAGUGGCCCCACAGUCUCCAGUGGAGGUUGUAUCACUCCUGGUUGUAUAGCUUCCAAGCUUGAUUCUCUACUUCCAGAUUUUGUUAGCUACCCAAUAUACUUUGAAAAGGAUCUUUUUCUAUUUAACUAUGGUGGAUUUUGUUUCAAACAUUCAGUGUAUAUUCUAGGAACUGGCUUUUAACAAUGGAAAAAUAGGAACAUAUUCUUGUCCUAAUAAAGCUUACACUCUGGUAGGGGAGACAGAUGAUAAAAAUAAAUAUAUGAUAAUGCUACAUGCCACAUGAUAAGCACUAUAAGACCGUAAGUAUUGUAGAGAAAAAUAAAGCAGCUAAGGAGAAAAAGUGCCAGGGUUGGAGUAUGGCACAUUUAGAUAGGGUGGUCAGGAAAGUUCUGACCAAGAAUGGCUAAAACUAACUACUCAGGAAAUGACAGAUGUUGGCGAGGAUGUGGAAAAAGCGGAACCCUCUUACACUGUUGGUGGGAAUGCAGGCUGGUGCAACCACUCUGGAAAACAGUGUGGAAGCUCCUGAGGACGUUAAAAAUAGAGCUACCCUAUGACCCAGCAAUUGCACUACUAGGUAUUUAUCCCAAAGAUAAAAAUGUAGUGAUCUGACGGGGCGCAUGUACCCCAAUGAUUAUAGCAGCAAUAUCCACAGUAGCCAAACUAUGGAAAGAGACUAGAUGUCCAUCGACUAUAAAGAUGUGGUGUAUAUAUAUAUAUAUAUAUACAAUGGAAUACUACUCAGCCAUCAAAAGAAACUGAAAUCUUCCCAUAUGCAACGUGGAUGGAACUAGAGAUUAUGCUAAGCGAAAUAAGUCAGCCAGAGAAAGACAAUUAUCAUAUGAUAUGAUAAUGAUCUCACUCUUAUAUGGAAUUUAAGAAACAAAACAGGAUCAUAGGGGAAGGGAGGGGAAAAAUAAAACAAGACGAAACCAGAGAGGGAGAUAAACCAUAAGAGACUCUUAAUCAUAGGAAAAAAACUGAGGGUUGCUGGAGAGGAGAGGGUGGGGGGAUGGGGUAACUGGGUGAUGGGUCAUUAAGGAGGGCAUGUGAUGUGAUGAGCACUGGGUAUUAUACAGACUGAUAAGUCACUGAACUCUACCUCUGAAAAUACUAAUACAUUAUAUGUUAAUUGAAGUUAAAGUUAACUGAAUUUAAAUUUUUUUUAAAAAGGGAGGGGGUACCUGGGUGGCUCGGUCGGUUGAGCAUCCAACUCUUUAAUUUUGGCUUGGGUCAUGAUCUCGGGGUUGUGCGAUCAAGCCCCACACAGGACUCCACACUCAGUGGGGAGUCUGAUUCUUCCUCUCCCUCUGCCCCCCAAAAUAAAUAAUUUUUUAAAAAUAAUUAAAAAAAAAGGAAAGUUCUGACCAAGAUGACAUUUGAAUAAAGAUCUGAAGGAUGUAAAGGAAUGAGUUAAAUGGAUAUCUAGGUAAACAUUCUAAGUAGAAGGGAAACAAGGAGUACUUGAGUGCGUGAGAGUGUACUUGGCACAUUCAAGGAAGAGCAAGGAAACCAGUGUGGCUGGAACAAGGUGAACAAGGGGAAAAGUAGUAGGUGAUGAGGACCAAAAGGUGAGGGAUCCAUUAGGUGCUGGUAGGUUACUGCAGGGGCUUUGAGAGUGGAAACACUGAAGGGCUUUGAGCAGAGGAGACAUGUAUGAUUUAAAAGGAUCACUGUGAUUGCUGCAUUGAAAACAGACAUAAGGAAAGGGGCUGGGCAAAAGCAGAAGAAAGAGAAAAGUGAAGAACUACUAUAACAAACUAGGUGAGAAGUGAAGAUGGUUUGGCCCAUGGUGGUAAUUAAGGCAGGUGAGGAGACAUAGGCUGAUUCUGGAUAUAUUUUGAAGAUAUAACUGACACCCAUUUAUUGACAGGUUGGUUUGGGGACAUUCUGAUAAUUUCAUGCUUCUGACAUACAGGAUUAGCAUAUAUGAUGUAAUGUGUUUUCUAAGAAUCAAAAGGCAGAAAUAUAUGUAUUCUCAACAUUGGUAAUAUAAACUCUCUUACACUAAUAGAGAGCUUUAGCAUUAACACUACCUGAUACAUAUAUUACCAAUCAUCCUUACUCUGCUGAAGUCAUUUAAAAAAUAUUUUCAGUGGGGGUACCUGGCUGGCUCAGUCGGUAGAGCAUGUGACUCUUGAUUUCAGGGUUGUUAAGUUCAAGGCCUGCUUUGGGUGUAGAGAUUACUUAAAAAUAAGAUCUUUAACAAAAAAAACUUCAGUGUUUAUUAUGCACAGGACAUGGUAAUUUGAUAUCACCAAAAACGUAAAUAGCACUAGAGUUCACAAAGCACUUUAACACAUUAUUAAACUCACAACCACUUAAAGAGAAACAGGUAUUACCUGUUUUACAGAUAUGGAAACUGAGCCCUAGAAACAUAAAUAACUUGCCUCAGGUCACCUCCUGGCAGAGCCAGCCUUGAACAUGGCCACAGAUCCUUUACUCACAGAUUAAAGUGCUGUAUCACAGAUACACUCUAAAGUGGCAUUCUACCAUCUCAGGUUUCACUUUUCUUAGUUAUAAAAUACUUUCUACAUAUGUAUCUUAAACACUAAGCCCAUAUAUGGUGGACAGAAUUUUGUUCCCUCCUCACCCCCUAAAAAUUCUUAUAUUGCAGUCCUAACCUACCCAAUGUGACUAUAUUAGAAUAUAGGGCUUUUAGGAGGUAAUUAAGGUUAAAUUAUAAGGGCAAGCCUUAAGCCAAUAGGAAUGGUGGGCUUGUAAGAGAAAGAGAUCUUUCUCCUCCAGGUAUACAUAUCUGAACAUACAGUGAGAUGGUAGCUAUUUACAAGCCAAGAGAAAAGGCCUCAGAAUGAAAUCUACCUUGCUAGCACCUUGACCUUGGACUUUCCAGCCUCCAGAACUCUUGAGAAAAUAAAUUUUGUUGUUUAAGUUACUCAGCCUAUGGUAUUUUGCUGUGGCAGCCCGAGUAGACUAAUACACCAUUAUUAUGGAAGAGAAAGGUGGAUUAAUCUCUUAACACUUAAUGUGGCCAAUUUAACAUAUACACGGAACCCCAAAGAAAUAUUCAAUUCCAACUUCAUUUUCAGGCCAUGAAUAAUCCAAACCACACAAAGUCCACAAGCCGGUGGAGAUUAGAGUCAUUCUUUUAUGCUCCAUUCAGCUGGCCCCUAAGCACCAUUCACAGCCAUGGAGUCUUACUCGUAGCCUCUGGGGGAGCAACAUGUGCUAAGGCCAAGUUCACCAGAGAAUCUCUUACAAUCUCCUUCAUACCUUCAACACCUGUGUUGUCCAAUAAAUUAGCCACUAGUUAUAUGUGGAGAAUAAGUAUUUGAUAUAUGGCUAGUGUGAAUUGAGAUGUGCUAUAAGAAUAAAGUAUAUACCGGAUUUCAAAAACUUAGUAUGAAAAAAUAUAUAUAAAAUAUAUUAAUAACUGUUGAAUAGUAUUUUGGAUACAGUGGGUUAAAUAUUAUAAAAAUUAAUUUCACAUUUCUUUUUACUGUUUUUAAUGUGCUCCUAGAAAAUUUAAAAUUACAUAUGUGGCUUGCAUUUGUGCUUUGCAUUCUAUUUCUAUUGCUUCUCCAUACACACACACACACACACACACAGUUUAUUAGUCCUUUUGAUACACUUACACUUUCCUCAGAAUCUCAGCUCCAGCUCUUCUUGGGUCUUGCCUCCAAAGGAUGUUACCUGUCUUUCCUGCUCCAACUAGUUCUACUAUUGUUGUGGGCAGAUUUCAGAACUUGAAUAUGCAUGAGGCAGAAGGGAGAAGACCUUAUGGGAGUCUAAACCCCCCCAUCCCUGGAUAAAAUAUUGAAUGCAAUUAGAUCUUUCCUCGUUGCACUGAUACUUUUUCUCCACUAUUUUAGGUAACUUUUUUUUUUAAGAUUUUAUUUAUUUAUUUGAGAGAGAGAGAGAGAGAGCGCAAGAGGGGGUAGGGUUAGAGGGAGAAGCAGACUCCCUGCCGAGCAGGAAGCCCGAUGUGGGACUUGAUCCCGGGACUCUGGGAUCAUGACCUGAGCCGAAGGCAGUCGCUUAACCAACUGAGCCACCCAGGCACCCUAGGUAACAUUAUUUUUAAAAGACCCUUCUAAUAAUGCAGCCUUUAGAAUACAACAUUCCAGGAAAUGGAAGGGAGUGGCAGGGAAGAUAACUCUAUCCUAUCAUACAUACAUUAAUGAUUUUGAUCCUAUACUACUCCCUAUUUUUCAAAAGAGAAAAGCUGUCAAGAGUGAUUAAAUGCAUUACCCAAGGUCACAGAUCUGCAUGAAGUAGAUUUCUACCGAAAUUUGAGCUCUAACCAGAUUCUGUGCUCUUACCAUUAUAUCACAAUAUCAUGUAAUCUCCAAAAUUCAAACUUUUGACAAUUCAAAAUUUUAUAGAACUUGGGUUAGGGAGAAAAUAAGAGGUGGCACUGAUACAAACUAAACACUACCUGGAAAAUAAUUAGUUAUUUUCUGUUUGGGAUAUAGAUAAGUGGGAAAUUAUGUUAGCUACUCAAGCAAUUCAAUAAAGCACUCCACAGAAUUGUUCUAAAUUACAGAUGAUGAUGAUGAUGACAGUCAAAAUGUUGUACACCCUUAGAUAUGAAGCACUGUACUAAACACUCUGUGCUUGAGCUCAUUUUAUCAUCUCACAGUGUAUGGGGUCCUAGUAACCCCAUUUUAUAGGAGAAACUGAUCACAGGGCUAAGAAUUGACUGAAACCAAGCCUGUCAGAUUUCAGACCCUAGAGCUGGGCCAUGCUCUACUGCCUUCCAAUAAUAAUGGUUUUAUCUCCACUACUUCUAGGUGUCUCACUUGGGAUAAAAGAAUGAAGUCACUCCCAAAUUCUGGCAAAUUCCCUAAAGAGGAAAGAAUUGUAAUUCUGGGCCUCAUUCUCUGCAUAUUACAGAUAAAUUUAGUUUUGAGCAUUUCUUAGACUAUUUUUGCAUCCUUCUUAUGCACUCAUUUGGGAUAGUUUAGAAAUAGCAUGUUUUAGAGAGGACUUUUAAUCAUUUACUGAUUUUGAAGAUGUACUUCUGAAGAGAGCUCUCACAAUUCCAGAAGCCGAUCUGAUGUGUGCCAAGUAACAGCAUUUUUGCUUUCUGUCCCUUGCAUGAACCUUUAUAUCCCUGGAAAUAUCCAACUGCCAACAUAAGGCUUUGUAUUUUAAGGCAGGGGCAGGGAGUCUCUUAACAUGUCCAGUUUCUUCUUUGCCCAGAAAGGUGUUGACUUAAAACAUGAUAACACAAGUUUUAACUAAACACUGACUCAUCAAGCAGGAUCUUCAAAGAAGUUCUUUAAAUUCCAGGAGUCCCGGAAUCCCCUAAGGUAAAAUGAGAAACAUAAUAUAAAACGUAGCUAUUUGUUUGUACAAACCAUUACAGUGUACGAAUAUGUUCACUUCAAACAAUCCUCAAAAUAACUGUCUAUUGGCCGCAUUCUACAAAUGAGGAAACUGAGGCCCAAGGAAACCAAGAGAAUGUCUAAAGAUUAUAACCACCAUUUGUGGACUUUCUGACAUUACACUUGAUUGAUGUUACACGUAUUUGCAACUCCUUGAUCAUACUUUAACAUACAGCUGGUAUGCCAGUUUGAAUCCAUCAACCAAAAAGAAAACUGAGAGAUCCUGAAUAAAGAGCUCCGAGAAUAUGGCAAAACAUUUAUUUACUUUUCCCAUGGAGUCUCUUAUCAACCUGUAUCAGAGUCUACUUCAGAUAGACAGUAGUCCCUUUUCUAAGGCUCCUUGCCUCUCCACCAUCACCUUCCCUUCUCCCCAGUCUUUUCCUGCCCCUUGCAUCCCAUUAGGUUCCCAUGUCUAUCUUGGACCAGCAAUAAAGGAUCAUUUAAGUUCCACCUAUCUUGAAGGGGAGGCUUUGGAUCCUUCCGAUUCUUCAGAAUGAAACCCUACCAAAAGACCUUUCUUUUGUUGGUGCUGACCAGCUCUCAAAUCUCAAAACCUAACUUUGGACUGAUUUGUUUCUAGUAGUAUGGCCAACACCCCAAAUAAUCUUUCCACUAAAAUCAACCUAAAAAAUCUGGUUAAAUGGUAAAAUAAAUGCACCCCACCACACACACACACCUUAAAAAAAAAAAAAAAAAAAAACCACAAGAUGAUAAAAUGUAAAGAAUUUUCAGAAUAAGUGAAUACACAGGUAAUCUAUCUAGUACCUCUCAAACAUGGAGUAAGAGGUGGGAAGCCAGUACCAGACAAGAAGGCAGGGGAUAAAGAAGGCCACCCAAGGAGGGGAUUCUAACAAGAGACAUCAGCAUAACAAAAAAUUGCAUUUGAAGUUUAAAGAGGCAGCUAGGAAAGUUGCCUUUUUCUACCCUUGGAGCCAGGUAGAGGGAAGAAAACUCUGCAUAACCACAAGCCAAUAUCUGUAACAUUUGUGUCUCCAAUUUAUACUUUCUAUAUAGGAAAAAAAAAAUCUAGCUGAGAAUUUAAGUGGUCCCAGCUUGGUAGUGCCCCGAAGCCCCUAGCAGAAACAUACUAAAAUUUUUAACACAAAACUUUAGGUAUGGGGGCGCCUGGGUGGCUCAGUCGUUAAGCAUCUGCCUUUGGCUCAGGUCAUGAUCCCAGGGUCCUGGGAUCGAGCCCGGCAUCGGGCUCCCUGCUCUGCGGGAAGCCUGCUUCUCCCUCUCCCACUCCCCCUGCUUGUGUUCCCUCUCUCGCUAUCUCUCUGUCAGGUGAAUGAAUAAAAUCUUAAAAAAAAAAAAAAAAAAAAAAAAAUACUUUAGGUAUGGAUGUUCAAAUUUCUAAAGUUUAAUGGAAAAAAAGAAACAGUAGUAAGUGUAUACAAAUUCCAAAACGGGAGGUAGGUAAAAUAGGAUGAAAAAAAAAUCCAAUUAAAGAAAAAUCAAGAAAGGAGGAAAAAGAAACACAAAAGGCAGGACAAAGAGCACAAUAUACUGACAAUAAGCCCAAAUAUAUCAGUAAUGACAGUAAGUUUAAGUGGACUAAACUAUCCAGUUAAAAAACAAAGUUACCAAAUUAUUGUUUAAAAAAAAUCUAGCUAUGUGUUAUUGUCAGAGUUAGGUUGCAGAAGCAGAGCUGCUGUUAUGGGAUAAGGGAUUUAUAUUAAAAGUAGACAAUACCAAUGUGAGAGGAGAUCUGGAACAGGGAGAUGGAGAGUCAAAGAUACUAACUAGUGCUCCUAAGCACUAUUAGUGUUGGAAAUUAUCGGGGAAAACUGAGAAAGCACAUGCCACCCAGCUGUGAAGUGGGAACGCAACAGGAAUUUGUGGAAAGUUCUGUGAGAAGCCACCGCCCCUGUGCAGCUACCACCUCUGUGGGUCUGGAGCCAAGCACCAGGGGGCCAAGCUGGGGCAGCAUUCAGAAGAAGAGCUGGAUGAAGUACAAAGAGCAAGAACACGCCAGACCCUGCUGGGCACCUGUUGAGCUAUUCAUCACCCCGUCUACAGAAUAAAGGCCACACCUUCAUUUCAGCCUGUCAGUUCCCACACAAAUUCAUCUUUGGGCUCACUCUAACCCAGGAAAGGGAAUUCUGGGAAAAUGUAGUUCUCAGCUUGACCAAGCUGAUCAUAGAAUAAUCCAGAGCAGCUGUUCAUAAAAGACACACGUAGGGGUGCCUGGGUGGCUCAAUCUGGUUAAGCAUCCGACUCUUAAAUUUCAGCUCGGGUCUGGAUCUCAGGGUUGUGAGAUGGAGCACCGCGUCAGGCUCGGCGCUGGGCAUGGAGCCUGCUUAAGAUUCUCUUUCUCCCUCUCCCUCUGCCUCUCUUCUCCCCUUCUCUCCCUCUCUAAAAAAAAAAAAAAAAAAAAAAAAAAAGACACAC